rnacentral:rRNA from 1 species
UACGAAGGGGGCGAGCGUUGUUCGGAAUUACUGGGCGUAAAGGGUUUGUAGGUGGCCUGCUAAGUCAGACGUGAAAUCCCUCAGCUUAACUGGGGAACUGCGUCUGAUACUGGCGGGCUUGAGGACAGGAGAGGAACGCGGAAUUCCAGGUGUAGCGGUGAAAUGCGUAGAUAUCUGGAGGAACACCGAUGGCGAAGGCAGCCCCCUGGGCUAGCACUGACGCUCAGGCACGAAAGCGUGGGGAGCAAACAGG